UAUUUAGUAGGCCUUGUACCCUGGUUAUUAGAUCUAGAGUUUAGAUUUAGUAAUAGAAUCUAGGCUUAAUGUUCAAUAUAUAUUGACCUAAAGUAGUUAUAGAUUUAAUGGCUAGUUUUAGAUUCAAUUUUAUUUAAAAUUUUGAUUAUGUAUAAAAAUGUAAACUAUAAUUAUAAGAGAAAAUUCUGAGUAGAAAUAUUGUGUGUACAUCUAUUUUUCAGAUUACCUGAAUUAAAUCAGUGCAUAUAGACCUCUAGAAAGAAGCCUACAAAAGUUCCAGGAAAUACAAGAUGAAGAGUAUAAGUUGCCAUUAUGAAGGGAUAAUGUAGUCAGCACUAUGCCCAGCCAUUUUUUUGCUUUCCCCAAUGUCAAGUACCCAUCAGAGCUGAGUGUUCUCAGGUAAAUGGAACUUCAUGAAAAUUGAAGAAAAAUUAAUAACAAGUAAAUGAACAUUGUGUUAUGGGUUGCUGCAAUCACCACUUUAAUGGAAUUUUUCAAGGACAUUUUAAAUGUAGUAAAGAAAUAGGGAUGCCACUACAAAUCUGGUGAUGUCUUUUAUAUCUACACAAAGGAAUCAGUUACUAGCUUGUGCAAGCAUGAAAAAAAACAUGUAUAAUGUAAAUGUAACUUUACAUUUGAACAAAGCUAUGAAAGUAACAUUUCUUCAUGUGAAUGUCCCGGAGGAGCUAACAGGUGUUCACAGACUGCUGUACAGUUUUGCCUUGUUUAUUCACCAAGAAACCCCAUUUACAACUUAUGAUAAUGCUGUUUAGGAUCUGCUUUUGGUUUCUCAACGCCAGAAAUACAAGAUGAAGAGUAUAAGUUGCCAUUAUUUUAAGAUAUUUUUUUUUAGAAUAUACUGAUUUUGAGAUAAUUUUGAUUUUGAUGAAAUUGAUUGUUUAAAAAAAAAUCAAUGUCUAAAAUAAAGUCCAAAUAAAUAAAAUAUAUUAGAUAACAUUAGGCCAAUGAAACAAAACCCUCAUAUUUGCCAUAAUUAUUUAUAUCAAACAACAUAAUUAAAAUACUAAUGUAUGUAAAAUUAGUUAAUUGCAUACAAUUUUCUU